GCAAAUUGACACCGUAACUUCGGGAGAAGGUGUGCCGCUGGCGGUUAGUGACUUCGCGUCACGAAGCUGUUGGUGGUCGCAGUGAAAUGGCGGUUGUGACUGUUUACUAAAAACACAGGACUCUGCGAAGUCGUAAGACGACGUAUAGGGUCUGAUGCCUGCCCGGUGCAGGAAGGUUAAGGGGAUAUGUCAGCGCAAGCGAAGCAUUGAACCGAAGCCCCAGUAAACGGCGGCCGUAACAAUAACGGUCAUAAGGUAGCGAAAUUCCUUGUCGGGUAAGUUCCGACCUGCACGAGGGCAUAACAACAUCCGCACUGUCUCGACCAGGGACUCAGCGAAAUUACAUUGGGGGUGAAGAUGCCCUCUACCCGCGGAAAGACGGAAAGACCCCAUGAACCUUUACUGCAACUUGGCAGUGAUUUUCGGGUUGUUCUGCGUAGGAUAGGUGGGAGGCUUUGAAGCCGGGCUUCCGGGUUCGGCAGAGCCAACGUUGAAAUACCACCCUGAAUAAUCUGGAAAUCUAACCUGCGCCCAUGAUCUGGGCGAGGGACACUGCCUGGUGGGCAGUUUGACUGGGGCGGUCGCCUCCUAAAUUGUAACGGAGGCGUGCGACGGUUCCCUCAGGCUGAUUGGAAACCAGCCGUAGAGUGCAAACGCAUAAGGGAGCUUUACUGCGAGACUGACAAGUCGACCAGUUGCGAAAGCAGGUGUUAGUGAUCCGGUGGUACCACAUGGAAGGGCCAUCGCUCAUCGGAUAAAAGGUACUCUGGGGAUAACAGGCUGAUCGCGCCUGAGAGUUCACAUCGGCGGCGCGGUUUGGCACCUCGAUGUCGGCUCAUCGCAUCCUGGGGCUGGAGCAGGUCCCAAGGGUUUGGCUGUUCGCCAAUUAAAGCGGUACGCGAGCUGGGUUUAAAACGUCGUGAGACAGUUUGGUCCCUAUCUUCCGUGGGCGCAGGACACUUGAGAGGAGCUAUCCAUAGUACGAGAGGACCUGGAUGGACGAACCUCUGGUGCUCCGGUUGUCACGCCAGUGGCAUAGCCGGGUAGCCAUGUUCGGAACAGAUAACCGCUGAAGGCAUAUAAGCGGGAAGCUGGCCUCAAGACUAGGUGUCCCUGACGCAAGUCACUAAAGGCCCCUCGAAGACUACGAGGUUGAUAGGCUCGGUGUGGAAGCACAGCGAUGUGCGGAGCUAACGAGUACUAAUAGGCCGUGCGGCUUGACCUC
rnacentral:rRNA from 1 species